CGUCCUCUCCCGGGAAUGUACCCACAGGCCCCCUCUACGCGCUUGGGUUGCCCAGGAAACCCCAACGGUGACCCCACAAUGCCCAGCAGAGCCCUCGCCCUCUGCCGCUGACGGGGUCACCAGAAUCCAGCGACCCAAGGAAUCCCUCAAGUAAGUCGGCCAAAUUUCGCUGCGAACUGAUUUUCACAUAUGGCCUCACCUGGACAAGAAGGAGUCUUGGAAGUUCCUGGGGCCCAACUCCUGGUUCACGAAGACACACAGCGUCCACGAGCAGGGGGCUGCGCAGCCUUCCCUGGGUCAAGGCGUGGGUUUCAGCCUCAGGCGUGUGUUGCGCUGGAGAUUUGUAUUUUGUGAACUAGUUUCAGGUGGUCUCAGCACUUUUCUGUUAACAGGGAACCAGAGUUUCAGGAGAGAUCUCAAAACCUAAUUUUCUUCAUCUCGCCUCACUCAAAGGCCUCUUUCUUGUAGGAUUAUGAUUGGUUUUUUUUAAUAAUUUUUUUUUCUGAUUGCAAACAUAAAAUUUUUGAAGAAAUGUUGUAAAACUAAUACAAAAAAGAAAUACUC
rnacentral:lncRNA from 1 species